rnacentral:rRNA from 1 species
UAUACAUGCAGUAGAACGCUGAGUCUGGUGCUUGCACUAGACGGAUGAGUUGCGAACGGGUGAGUAACGCGUAGGUAACCUGCCUCAUAGCGGGGGAUAACUAUUGGAAACGAUAGCUAAUACCGCAUAACAGUAUUUACCGCAUGGUAGAUACUUGAAAGGAGCAAUUGCUUCACUAUGAGAUGGACCUGCGUUGUAUUAGCUAGUUGGUGAGGUAACGGCUCACCAAGGCAUCGAUACAUAGCCGACCUGAGAGGGUGAUCGGCCACACUGGGACUGAGACACGGCCCAGACUCCUACGGGAGGCAGCAGUAGGGAAUCUUCGGCAAUGGGGGCAACCCUGACCGAGCAACGCCGCGUGAGUGAAGAAGGUUUUCGGAUCGUAAAGCUCUGUUGUAAGAGAAGAACUGUGAGAAGAGUGGAAAGUUUCUCACUUGACGGCAUCUUACCAGAAAGGGACGGCUAACUACGUGCCAGCAGCCGCGGUAAUACGUAGGUCCCGAGCGUUGUCCGGAUUUAUUGGGCGUAAAGCGAGCGCAGGCGGUUUGAUAAGUCUGAAGUAAAAGGCUGUGGCUUAACCAUAGUACGCUUUGGAAACUGUCAAACUUGAGUGCAGAAGGGGAGAGUGGAAUUCCAUGUGUA